GACGAACGCUGGCGGCGCGCUUAAUACAUGCAAGUCGAGCGAGAACUAGGGCUUCGGCCCUGGGGACAGCGGCGAACGGGUGAGUAACACGUGGGUAAUCAACCCCCGACACCGGGAUAGCCCAAGGAAACUUGGAUUAAUACCGGAUGCCCCAUCUGGCUUUCGAGCCGGCUGGAAAAGGGUAGCUUCGGCCUCCGGUCGGGGACGAGCCCGCGGCGGAUUAGCUUGUUGGUGAGGUAAAGGCUCACCAAGGCGACGAUCCGUAGCUGGUCUGAGAGGACGCUCAGCCACACUGGGAACGAGACACGGCGCAGACUCCUCGGGGAGGCAGCAGUAGGGAAUCUUGCGCAAUGGGCGAAAGCCUGACGCAGCGACGACGCGUGAGGGAAGAAGGCCUUCGGGUUGUAAACCUCUUUCAGGAGGGACGAAGCCACUCGGGUUAAUAGCCUAGAGGGUGACGGCACCUCCAGAAGAAGCCCCGGCUAACUACGUGCCAGCCGCCGCGGUAA
rnacentral:rRNA from 1 species